UACGUAGGGGGGCGAGCGUUGCCCCGGAGUACUGGGCGUAAAGCGCACGCAGGCGGUCUGUGAAGUUUUGGAGUGACAGUUGGUGGCUCAACCACCAAAGUGCUUUGAAAACUGAUAGACUUGAGGGCUUCAGAGGGACACGGAAUUCCGGGUGGAGUGGUGAAAUGCGCAGAUAUCAGGAAGAACACCCGUGGCUAAGGCGGCUCUCUAGUACGGUUACUGACG
rnacentral:rRNA from 1 species